GACGAACGCUGGCGGCGUGCCUAAUACAUGCAAGUAGAACGCUGAAGGAGGAGCUUGCUUCUCCGGAUGAGUUGCGAACGGGUGAGUAGCGCGUAGGUAACCUGCCUGGUAGCGGGGGAUAACUAUUGGAAACGAUAGCUAAUACCGCAUAACAGUAGAUGUUGCAUGACAUUUGCUUAAAAGGUGCAAUUGCAUCACUACCAGAUGGACCUGCGUUGUAUUAGCUAGUUGGUGAGGUAACGGCUCACCAAGGCGACGAUACAUAGCCGACCUGAGAGGGUGAUCGGCCACACUGGGACUGAGACACGGCCCAGACUCCUACGGGAGGCAGCAGUAGGGAAUCUUCGGCAAUGGACGGAAGUCUGACCGAGCAACGCCGCGUGAGUGAAGAAGGUUUUCGGAUCGUAAAGCUCUGUUGUAAGAGAAGAACGAGUGUGAGAGUGGAAAGUUCACACUGUGACGGUAUCUUACCAGAAAGAGACGGCUAACUACGUG
rnacentral:rRNA from 1 species